CAGAAAAUGAAAGUGUUUUCUGCCCUUUUCCCUACACUAAGGGAUUAUUGAGAUAAUGACCUAAUAGUCUGGGUUGUGUAUAUGUCAGAAAAACUUCAUUUUAUUAAUAAGUGAUACUACAGAUACUGCCCAUUUAUUAUAUUGAUAGCAGCUGUGGAUAUGAGAAGAGUGGACCUAUAUAUGUCCAUAUAUAGGUAUAACCAAUAUAUAUGUAUAACAUAUAUAUGUCCAUAUAUAUGUAUAACCAAACCACAGGUGUUUUUUUGGAAGUCAUAUUAUACAGGGAGUUGACAGAGGUGUGAGCUGGACUUUAAGAAGCUGCACAUAAGAUGCUAGUAUGAUCAAGCUGGAAUGGACUUAGACAAUUUGAAACAACUUUUCUCAGUUUUCAGAUGAGGAAACUGACGGGUACCAAGCUUAAAUGACUUGACGAAGCUCAUAGAAGAUUAGCAGGUAGUAGAAUAAUGACUGCUGACUCCUAAUUCAGUGGAUCUUCCCUGGCCACCGUUUUGUAUUGAGCUGCAAUGCUUCCUUGACUGUUCUCCAUGCCAGAUUCUUAUCAAUGAUCUUUCACCUAAGAAACAGCAAAGAUUCUGGCAAGCACACGAUCUAGAGAUACAUCUUAUUGCGAUUUUUCACAAAAAUCAAAAGAAGAAAGAAGGCUUAGCUGGUGUUUAAUUAUUGUUAUUUUUUUCAAUAGGGAAAUCUGUACACAAUGAUUUAUCUCCAGUGAUUUGCCAUUGAUCAAUUUUUUUCUCAUUUCAUUUUCUAUUUUUUUGUUUUUUGUUUUUCUUUAUUUUUUAUUUUUUUCUCCUUUUUCUUUUUUUAAAUUUUCUGUUUAUCACAAAUGAUCAUGUAAUUAUAUGUUAAUACUAUGUAACCCCAGUGUUUUCAACUGUUUGUGAUUCAAUGUUACCCAGUUUUCUUUUCUUAAUUUUAAAUAAAUUUGAAAAAUUAUCUUAGAGUGUUUUGAGCCUGUGUUGGUACAUUUAGUUCUAGUUCAUUGUGGUAAAUCCACUUCAGUUUCUAAGUUUCCACCCUUUAGUAAAGACAUAUUUCUAAAUUUGGUUUAUAUCCUCAGUUACAAAAGAUUCUAACUGCUAGUUUUGUGACAGCAAUCACACAUACCAUCAAGGGAUGGGGCAGGCAGUUUUGGAAUGUGCUGAUGCUAGCAUUUUUAUAAGCCUAUGGCUUUUAUAGUCUAAAUUGUUCUUAUUUCUAUUAAUGCUUCAAUUUUUGACAAACACACAACCAUAGAAACAAAUAAUAAAUUUGUUUUUUGGGAAUUAUCCAGGAUUCUUGGUUAAGUGGGGAAUUUAGGCUUUGACAGCAUAAAGGAUCACGGAUAAGUAUUUUUCACGGUGGCUCUAAUUAUAAUGCUGAGCAUGUGGCAGGCACAGAAAUAUUUACUCAUUGACUGAAUAUAGCACAUCGUAAUGUUGAUUUUUUUCCAACAUAAUUUUAGAGCUAGGCAUAUUGUAUUCUAUUACACUAGACUAUAUAUCAUUCUUAAAUAGAACCAGCCUUGCUAGAUAACACAUGUUGGAGGAGAGGCCCUUCUUCUUAGCCCUCAGUGUUUCCAUCUAUGGGGAAGAAGUUCCACCAUACUAACAUUACUAUCGUCUCUCCACCUGCUCACUCACUUCUCCCCAAGGGAGGGGUGUUCGAUAUGGUUUCUGAGCUUGGAAAGAAAACUCAGGCAUGUGUAACAUGGUUCCUUCAGUCCCAUGACCCACUGUCCACAAAUGGGCUGCUCACAGAGUGCAUGCCUUCACCCUUGUUCCUGGCCAUGCAGGAAAUUGUAUGAAACAGUCCUAGCUGAAGCCUGAGAUUUUCCUGCAUUGCCUAGUCCUGGUGGGUAUCUGUCUACUCCUGGAGUUUGGAUUGGAAAGUCCACAUGCCUGAAGGUAUAAACCUAUUCUACAAAGGGGUGUUUUCUAGAAUGAAGGUAAUAUUUUUAUCUUACAUUUGCAGAAAGAGACAGAACAAUGUUAUAGGACUGUAUUGUCUGCUAGACCAUUUAUUCAAAGUGGGAGGAUGAUGUUCUAAAAGCCAAUGAUAAAGCUCAUGGCAAUGCAGGGUAUAUCUGAUGGCAUGGAAUGCUUUAGGAUGGCCAAGAUUGCCCAUCAAAUGCCAAGUCACCGAAGGUACUCAUUUAUUCUAAAAAUAUCCACUAAGCAACCCUUUCUAAUAUGUGUUGUUCUAGGUUCUGGGAAAUAAGAAAUCAUUAGAAAAAGAUUUCUGCCUUCUAGAAGUACACAGUCUAAUGGUGAGAUAGGCAGUUAUUAAUGGCUCUCCUACUAGGAGCCUGACAUCAUGGUGAGCAUCGAGAAAGGAAUAACCUAAGCUGAAGACACGCCUUUUCAGGAGGCCAAGUUCCACGUUCUGUGCAUGCUUUUGGCGAAAGUCAGGCCAGGCACUACUCUGUCCCAACAAUAAGCCCUGUACAUUGGGAAAGGUGCCGAGACAUGAACUUUGGUCUUCUCUGCAAUCCAUCUGGAGCAUUCACUGACAACAUCGACUUUGAAGUUGCACUGACCUGGCCAGCCCUGCCACUUACCAGGUUGGCUCUGUAUGGCUAAGCGUUUUCUCCUAAAAUCCCUUGAAAACUGUGAGAAGACCAUAAGAAGAUCAUAUCUUUAAUUCUAUUUCACAAGUCACACAAUAUUCCAAUCAAAUACAGAUGGUUGAGAAAAGUCAUCCAUCUUCCCUCCCCACCCUCCCACAGCCCCUCAACCACUGCCCUGAAACUUAUAUGCUGUUAUCCGCAGCUCCAUCUGGAGCAUCACAGCUACUGUCAACCCUGACGCUCUUUCUGAAAAAACACCGGAUGGACAUCAGAACUAUUUCUUUAAGGAUGUUACUGAGCCACACAGGAAAACUUGCCUUAUGAUUUUGAAUGCACGGAUCUGAUUUGACUAAACAUGAUAACUAGAGAAUCACCCAAUCUACUCCCAUUUUCAACUCUAAAUCAUCAGAGUGUCUCAAAUCCAAAGCACACACAGACCAGCCUGGCCAACACGGUGAAACUCCACCCCUACUAAAAGUAUAAAAAUUAUCCAGGUGUGGUGGCGGGCGCCUGUAAUCCAAGCUACUUGGGAGUCUGGAGGCAGGAGAAUCCCUUGAACCUGGGAGAUGGAGGUUGCAGUGAGCAGAGAUCACACCACCGCACUCUAGCCUGGGCCACAAAUCAACAACAACAACAACAACAAAAAACAAAGCGCACACAGAGACUGAGGUCCUCUUUGGCAUUGAGAAGAUGGCUAUGCAAGUCCCAACUAGCAAGUGCAAACUUCCCAGCUUCACUUCUGCCAGUGUCCCUUCACCCCUUCUCAACCCCACUGGGAGGCAGGAGGGUGCUUGACAAUAACAGCCUUGGCAUCACUCUGCCAGGGUGUAAUAGGAACUGUUACAAUUCUGAGAUUCUGUGUAAGCACUGGCCUUUCUGCCUAGAAUGCCUUCUCCUCUCUUUUUUAACUGCAUGCUCCUAUUUAUCUUUCAAAGCCCGGAAAAAAUAACACUGCACACGGGAAAUGCUCCCUUCCUACUGCAGUCAUUUAGAUGACUCUAUGCCAUUCCAUUCAUUUCUCUUUCCUACCACAGAAGUGCUUUGAGAUUUUGGAGUCAGACUGCUUGAACUUGAAUCCUGGCCCUCUCAUCAGAGACUUGACUUAUUUUAGGCAAGUUAUAUAACCAAUUUUACCUCAGUUCCUUACCCAUAAAAUGGGUCUAAUGAGAGUACCUACCACACAGAAUUUUGAUGAAAACUGAAUGAGAUGAAGGCCUUUAAGGCAGUGGUCCCCAACCCUGGGGACACAGACAGGUACCAUUUUGUGGCCUGUUAGGAACUGGGCCACACAGCAGGAGGUGAGCAGUGGGUGAGUGAGAUCAGCGUUAUUUACAGCUGCUCCCCAUUGCUCACCUUACUGCCUGAGCUCCACCUCCUGUCAGAUCAGCAGUGGCAUUAAAUUCUCAUAGCAGCACAAACCCUGUCAUGAACUGCACAUGCGAGGGAUCUAGGUUGUGCGCUCCUUAUGAGAAUCUAAUGCCUAAUGACCUGUCACCGUCUCCCAUCACCCCUAGAUGGGAGUGUCUAGUUGCAGGAAACAAGCUCAGGGCUUCCACUGAUUCUACAUUAUGGUGAGUUGUAUAAUUAUUUCAUUAUAUAAUACAAUGUAAUAAUAAUAGAAACACAGUGCACAACAAAUGUAAUGUGCUUGAAUCAUCCCCAAACCAUCCCAGUCCACGGUCUUCCACAUUUUGUCUUUUCACAAAAUUGUCUUCCACAAAACUGGUCCCUGGUGCCAAAAAGGCUUGGGACCACUGCUUUAAAGCCUUUGCAUAGUGCUUAGAAUUGAGGGGGAAAAAAAAAACAAAAACAAUGUAGCUAGUUGCUACAAUCACUAUAUUGGUGAGUUUCAAAAGGAAAAGAAUUCUGUCCCAUUUAUGCUUGAGCCUUGAGUUGCUAACCAAGCCUGACACAAAAUUACUGUUGAAGGGAUGUGUGAGUCCUAAUUGAAAUGAGGCCUCUUAAGGGAAUUGUGGACCAAACCCCAAGCAGGCAGAAAGCCGUAUCUUAAUUAUUGCAAGUAUUUCAGGCAAGGUGUGGAUGGCCAUUUGAAUUCAAGCAGACUAGGACCUGGGAUGAGAAAGAAGGUGUGUACGUGACUUGAUCUUUGAACUUUAGCUCACCAUCUGGAAGAAGGCUGAGUAUUCUCUGCACUCACAUAGUAGCUAAUGCCUACUCCCCAGCCACCCACAAUUCUUUCUGUAGGAAGGCUCGCUAGAAUACUUUGUGAUAUUGGAUAUUAGUUCCAUAUUCUACUGUGUAUCUUAGUUCAACCAAAUUGUAAUCAUCUGAUAUUUAUUUCUUUUAAUAUAAAUAUAAGUAUAUUAAGUCUUGGCAUGCUUGCUCAGUCUCUCUCUCUCUCCCAUUCCUCCCCGCUCCCCUCUCUCUUUCCCAACAGGCUUGGAAAGCAGGCAUCACCAUGCCUAUUUAACAGUUGGGGUCCCUUGGCCACCAGGUGCUGGAGUAGGAAUCUGAGCCCGGACAUGCCUGAUCUGUAAAUUUUGUGUUUUCCCCACUGUGCUGGGCAGAUCACAGCUAUCAGCGCCAAAUUCAUAGAAGGGGCGCCCCCUGUGGUCAAUUGAGGGAUUUGUGUUUGAGGUAGAUCUCAAGAAGGAAUGGGUGGGGAACUUAGCCUAGGACAGAGCAGAAAGGAGCCCUCACUCCCCAAGCACCAACGGCCUCAGUCCUUCCUGCUGACUCCAGCCUCUAGCUCUCACCCAGACUAUCUGCAUCCUUCUCUCCACCACGCUCCUUUGGAACCUGCGUAAAACACAGAUUAAAGGAAUUCCGCCUUACUUCCCUUUCCGCAUUAUGACCAAAUGGUUUUACACUAUCAUUGAACAGUUUAGUACAAAACAUGCCACCUUUUAAUCUAUUCAUUCAUUUAACAAAUACUUUGGAGUGUUUACCAUGUGCCAAGUGCUGUUCUAAUAGACAUAAGCUGUGAGGUUAUGCUUAUCUGAUUCUCACAGCAACAGCUUUCGAGAUAUGAAUUGGUAUACUCAUUUGACAGAUGAGGAAAUUGAAUUCAUGUAGUGAGAAAGGAAGAGCUGCAAUUCAGGGUUACUGGUUUCUCCUGCACUAAGCACUGAGCCACACUAGAAGAGAAGGCAUGAGGAAGACAAAAGUGAGAAGGUACGAGAGAAGAUAUUAAGUAGAGGUCUAUUAGUUCCUCUUAAAACUAUUUAUGAAAGAGGCGGAUGGGGUAGUGGAUGGGAAAGACAGAUGGAUUCAUGUUCUUCACUCCAGGUUUCCCCCCAUUCCCUUCCCUUUUAAAUGCCUGCUCAUUUUUUGGCUACCUUUCAAGCUCUAGGAAAUACUCUGGAAUUCCAGGCUGGGAGGGGUUUCCUUUGCAGAUCUGGCUAUUGUAACUUUACAAGAAAUUGCUCAAUACUUCCUCUCACCAGUUACAAACCACGGUUUUCUGAAUGAACUUUAUGUUCAUUAAACAGUUAACCCUUCAGCUUUCUGACUCACAUUUUUCAUGUUAUUAAUCAGCUCUUAGAGUAAGGUAAAAUCUAGAACAGACUUUAUAUACACCCUCCCUCCCACACACAUAUACAUACAUAAUACAAACACAGACCACACAUGUCCACAUCCUUAUGCGCAAACACUAAGAAACACACGCAUACACAAACAUACAUGUACACAAAAUUAAAUACAUAGCUAUGGCACUUUCACUAUACAUGUAAACACCCUUACACACAUACAAAUGUACAUGCGCGUGUGCGCACACACAUAUGGAAUUAGCUUUUUCUCUUUGUGGGAGGAGGGAAAUGAAAAGACCCAAAACAUUCAGAUUCCCAAAUGGACACGUAAGAACCCCGUCAUGGAAAUAGGUCUGGGUUUUUUUCUCUUUUGAGGGAAGCAGGGCGUUUCUGGUUACUGUCGCCAUUGCCAUUGUGCCCCUGCUUACCAUCCCCCUGCACCGCCCCCCCGGCCCCCGCCCGCCACUGCUAGGGUUUACAGGUCAUCCCUGGAUUAAAUAAGUGAUAUUGUGUUUUUUUUUCUUUGACACAAAGUAAAAUUAUAAUUAAUAUUGAAUAAAGUAAAAAUGAACUCCUGAGUUCCAGUCCCUUAUGUAACACACCUGGUUUGUGGCAGGCACUCAGGAAAUAUUAGUUGCAUGAACGAAGGCUGCAUUUUCAUUAGAACAACAUGCAGUUCAACCCCUUCAUGUUUCAAUGAGGGUUCAGAUACCCAGAGGGCUAUGCUAUCAUCCUGGAGCCCACUCUGCUAACAAUUAGCAGAACGGAAGCCUUAAUUUCCAGAUUCUAGUGAACUUGAUGAGUCAAGACUAUUGCAAUUGGAAAUCUGUUCUCCUCUGCUGCUGCAUUCCCUGCUUAAUACUCAAGCCAGAAACCAGGAAGGCUGUGGCUUGCCUUUUCACUUCUUGUGUCCUGUUUAAGAAAUAUCUGCUAUCCCAAGCAUCUGGCAUCUUUCUUGACAUAUGUAGCAGUUGCUUUUUGACAGCUUGCUUCUUCAGUGAAUGAAUAAAUUAAUAAAGAGAAAUGUGAUGUUCAGUGAUCCAUUUUGCAGAUUGCAAACUCCUAGAGAAGGGCUCAACAGUGAGUGCUGAGGCUGCACAGAGGAGGAAGGCAGCACAAUGAUGGAAGGCUUCCUAAAGAGAUAACACUAACAAAGUUGACCUUAGAAUUGGAGUGCCUGGGUUAGAACCCUGCUGGUACCACCUGCUUACUGCAUGCUUCUGAUGUGAGUUCAGGAGAAGACACUGGCAAGGACAGCAAAGAACAGGAGAACACUCUAGCUUCCCUGAUAGCAUUCAAGGUGCUGUCCAAAGCUCUUGAGUUUCUGCUUUCAAGUGACCCUCAGAAAUUCCUCCAUUCACUGCAGAGGUUCUGUUUCUCCUUGCUUUGUUCUGACUUUACGGCAGAACUAAGCUAAUGAGUUAGUUACUAUGGGUUAUCACUUGGAUUUGAAGAACCAUCAUUUCUAGGCAUUGCUGCUCAGAGUGGGUCUGCCCUCAGGGGAAGCUGUCUAACCAGAGCCUAACCCACUAGGGUUUUAUCAGAACCUAACUGACCUGAGGAAAAGAAAUACUCAACUCCAGCAAGCUCCAGCCUUCCAAAUGGAGGAGGAGAAAACCCAACUCCAGCCCACUUCAGCUAUCUUGUCCCACAUAAAGGGGAAGUGGAAGAAACCUGAGAAGCAGGCAUGAAGUUCACAGUCCAGAGUGUAUUCCACACCAUUUCAUAUUCCAUCGCAUUCCAUUCUACACAAUUCCACAUCUCCCCGGCCACAUCAGCCUGAGAGUAAUAAACAGACCUUGCCAUCGUAUCCCCUUUUGGAGACACAAGCCAGGAAGGAAGCUCUUCAGUGCAGCUGUGAAUAGAGAAAUGCUGGCUGAGGUUUUGGAGACACUGGGUGAUCAUUCCCAGUGAAAUUUUUAGAUCCCUGGGGACAUGAGCUGCUUUGUCUUUUCCAAGGUCAGGAUAAACAGAAUAACUUCAGGCUUCUCUACCCAGAAAGAACAUGUGGCAUAAAUAUCAACUGCAGAAUAAAUAUGAUUAAUCUGGUACAUGGACGAAGAUGUUUUCUAGGAGAUGCUUAUCCUGGGAUGAGAGCUUUCAUAAGCAUUGAUAUUUACAUGACUCUUACCGUGUGUCAGGAACUGUUCUAAUUGUUUUACCUAUGUCAAUUCAUUUGAUAGUCACAACCACUGAAAGGAGUAAGUACUCUUAUUACUUCCAUUUUACAGAUAGGGAAACUGAGGUAUAGAGAAGUCAAGUGACUUGCCCGAGGUUAUUAAACUACUUAAUGUCAACACCAGGAUUUGAACCCAGAUCAUUUGUUUCUGAAGUACAUGCUCACAAUCACUGCAUUACUGAUACACUGUUUUGUCUUUGCAUACUUAAGUGGUCAUAACUUAGUCUGAAACACUUUGUGAGAGCAGGAAGCAAACUGUCCCCUUAUUAGGUGGACCAGUAUAGUGAUAAUACAAAAGUGUAUUGCAUUUGAAUUACUUGCUAAUAUCUUCUAAUUGAGGCAAUUUUGAACAGGAAUAUACAUAUCUAGCCUCUAUUUUUCUAGCUAGAAGUUCUGAAAUCCCUGGGCUUAAUAUUGUAUGGCAACAAUUGGCUGGAGUUGAGUUGCUGCCACUCUCUUUUAACUGAGCCAUGCUCUCUCUAGUUUGCUACAGGCCCCACCACUCCCUAUUGCCUCUCCAAUACCAGGUCAUUUGGCAUCUUACUCAGCUCAUUUCAUGCACAUGUGUUCCACAAUUGGUAACAUAACCCUAAAAGUAUUUGAGUUUGUGGCUUCUGCUCUUGUGACAGAAGACUUUUCUCGAAUUCCAAGGUCAACAUAUACCAUAUUGACUCUGGGCCACAUUUUUUAAUGUGCUCAAGCUCAGUUUUUCUCCUUAAAAAAUGAGGGGUUAAAAAUAACACUUCGUAGUUGCCUCAUCUGUGGAUUGGAAGAAUGAAUGCCUGUCAUUUCUAGAGUUGUAGUAAGGGCCAGUUGGGGCAGUGCCUGUGAAUAUACGCAAUGGGCCAUCAAGCAAUCUCAGGGCUUCAGGCAAUGCUGGGGUUUAUAAAGCACUUUAUGUUUUAAGUUCACUUUUAUUUCUAAAGUCUCAUUGACUGCUCUGAAAAUCUCUCAAGUAAAGUGGGCACUAAAGGCUUUAUACUCUCUCCAAUUAUACCUUCCAUUGUAUAGAUUUGGAAGCUGGGGUCCAAAUGUGUUAAAUGACUUGCCUAACAUGGUCCAUUACUGUAAGUACAGAAACGGAAUGAGACCCCAAAUCUGCUUCAUGGAGGGACACUCUUCUAAGAUACUGUGAUGCUUCUUCCCAAGUAAUUCCGUCUUCAGACUUCAAGGUCUCAAUUCGAAUGACAAUUCAAUAUAGGACUUUCAUAAUCUUAAAAGCAACCUGACAGUCAUUACAGUGGGCUGUGAGAAAUACUAACGCAGAGCCACAUACUCUGGGCUUCAUGCUAGGUUUUGCCACUCACUAUCUUUGUGACAUUGGGCCAGUGACUCAACCCAUUAAACCUCAGUUUCUUCACUUAUACAAUAGGGAUAAUGUCAUCUGUUCAGACUACCUUACAAAUUUGCUGUGAGACUCCAUUGAGAUGAUGUCAGUGAAAGCAUGAUGUCACUAUACAUUAAUAUCAGAAUGUGUAUGUCUCUUAGCCUCCUGACUAAAGACUGAGCUUCAGGAGGGUAUGUUGUAGACUGUCUUCUCUAUUCCAGGUGCUUUUGUACUUCUCACAUAAGGAUGCGUGAAAUGCCUAAACAAUAAGACCUUAGCCAUCAGGUGGUUCCAGCCAGGGAAGCAGGAGAUGGAGCCAUGAAAUGAUUCUUUUUUGGGGAUUGCUGUCAAAAAAUGAGGAAUGAUACUCGAGUUGAGGUCUGUUUGCUUUCUACCUGUGCAGGUAUCAGCCUAUGAGAUUCCAAGACAUUCUUGAUCACUAGUCAGCAGUUCACACUGUCAAAAUUCAAAAAUUACUGUUAGGGUAAAGGAACGUUGGAGUUUAAGUCAGAAGAUGUAGCUUUAAAUUUUGAUUCAGUUCUUUAGAAACUGUGUGUCCCUCUCUGGACCUCAACUGGGCUGUCAUAAUUAAAGGCGUUCUUAGACAUAGCAAGAAUUUAUAUUGGUUCUCUUCCUUCUUAUAAGCUUUAUUACAAACACGCAAAUUUUCACUGGAAGCUUGUACUAGGUUUGUAUUGUAUUUGCCUUUUUCUUAUUUUUUUCUCUCUCUUUCUUCCUGUUUUUAAAUCCACUUGUGAGCCAAGUUGGCUCUUAUUCAUUUUAUCCCGAGUUACCAAACACCCUACCCAAAUUGAGAGCAUUUCUUCUCCUCAGGCUGAAAAUACUCAGUGAGUAAACCCAAGGUCUUUAAUAGCAAGACAAUCAGAUCUGCUUAAUGUAAUUUGGUUUCUGCCUCGGAAUUAAUGUCGCAAGAAGUAUUUGAAUGAGGUUUGCUGUCUUUUUUUCUUACAGAAUUGUAGACUGGAUCUCACAAAAAUUCUGGUCAAACUAACAAAUGAUUCACUGAAGAAUGGGGGCAGAAAAAAAAAGCUGGCUGCUUGUUCCCUCUUUCUAGUUAAUGAAUCGAAUUGAUACAGGAACUUCAUCGUGUUCUCAGGGAAAUCCUGUUGGCUGGGGCUCACUCUUCAGCACCGCUAAAUUUAGGUCACGGCUCAGUGAAGAACAAUUACAGAUUCUUAAUAAAAGAUAAUUUACCCAGUGACAUCCAACAGGACAUCUGGGCAGGCGUUCUCAUUUUCUUGUUAAUGUUGUAGAGGUGGGGAGCGUGGAGUAGGGAUGAAUGUUGACAGAAAGUCAUUUUCUGACCUGCUUUGUGGCAUAUGUCAGUCCAUGCUCUUCCAGCAACUGAAAGCUGAACCUAAUGGGACCCCCACAAAAUGGUUUUCUAAAUUGGGCCAGGACAAAAAAAUGCUAAGAAGCUUAGUAGUGGGAAGGCAGAAUUCAUAAGUCCUGCAUUUGAAACCUGGUUGCUCAUGCCUUCUCUGGAUUAAUCUUUUUCUACCUUACCUUCUGCUCUCUACUAACUGCUCUCUCUACUCUUUAGCCAUGCUGAAUUAUUUUAUGGCUCUUCACAAACUGUGAUUUAUCUGUCCCACCUCCUGCCACCCUCCCUUUUUUUUUUUUUUUUUUUUUUUUUUUUUUUUAGACAGGGUCUUGCUCUUUUGCCCAGGUUGGAGUGCAGUGGUGCAAUUUUGGCUCAUUACAACCUAUUCCUGCCAGGCUCAAGUCAUUCUCUUACCUCAGCCUCCAGAGUACCUGGGUUCACAGGUGUCUGCCAUCACCCCUGGCUAGUUUUUGUAUUUUUUGUAGAGACAAGGUUUUACCAUUUUGGCUAGGCUGGUCUCAAACUCUUGAAUUCAAGCAAUCUGCCUGCCUUGGCCUCCCAAAGUGUUGGGAUUACAGGUGUGAGCCACCAUGCCUGGAUUCUCCACCUUUUUUGUCUUUGACCACCCUGUUCCUCUAGGUUGAUAUGCUUCCCCCUCCCUUUUGAAUGACUUAUUUUUGCUUUAAAACCUAUUUCCAUUGUCGUCUCUUCCAGGAAGCUUUCUGUGACCCUUGAAGGCAAAGUGUGAAGACUUUCUCUAACUCUUUGCUUGUUUUCUUCAUUAGAUUGAGCUCUGCCAAGUACAGACUGUGUCAUAGUGUUCUCAGUGUCCCAGGAGUAACCUACUCCAUUCAAAUCAGUUUUCUUAAAGUCCUAAUGGCCCCACUGUUGCCAAACACAACAGACAUUUCACAGUCCUUAUAUAUUUUCCCUUUUAAUGGAAUAUUACACUGUUUACAAGUUCCUCCUUCUUGAUGCCUUCUACUGUGGAUUGAAUUGUGCCCUCAAAAAUACGUGAAGGGCCGGGCGCGGUGGCUCACGCCUGU
rnacentral:lncRNA from 10 species